rnacentral:rRNA from 1 species
UACGUAGGGGGCGAGCGUUGUCCGGAAUUAUUGGGAGUAAAGAGCGUGUAGGCGGUUUGGUAAGUCUGCCGUGAAAACCUGGGGCUCAACCCUGGGCGUGCGGUGGAUACUGCCGGGCUAGAGGGUGGUAGAGGCGAGUGGAAUUCCCGGUGUAGCGGUGAAAUGCGCAGAUAUCGGGAGGAACACCAGUAGCGAAGGCGGCUCGCUGGGCCAUUCCCGACGCUGAGACGCGAAAGCUAGGGGAGCGAACAGG